rnacentral:rRNA from 1 species
UACGAACUGUGCAAACGUUAUUCGGAUUCACUGGGCUUAAAGGGUGCGUAGGCGGCCAUGUAAGUAGGGUGUGAAAUCCCCCGGCUUAACCGGGGAACUGCGCCCUAAACUGUAUGGCUGGAGUGAGAUAGGGGUGUGUGGAACUUCCGGUGGAGCGGUGAAGUGUGUUGAUAUCGGAAGGAACGCCGGUGGCGAAAGCGACACACUGGGUCUCAACUGACGCUGAGGCACGAAAGCCAGGGGAGCGAACGGG